AAAGAAGUGGCCGAGAUAUAAGCAUUAGAUUGUAAAUCUAACUACGAGAAACAACUCCUUCUUUA
rnacentral:tRNA from 1 species